rnacentral:miRNA from 1 species
ACGGUUGCAUUGUGUUGGUCU